rnacentral:lncRNA from 1 species
CCACCAACACCAACACCACCUUCAUCAUUACAACAACACUUUUCUCCGUCGGCUUUCGGUGUGAUACGGCCCCACCGUCACCUGCCGUAUCCGUCACCUUAUCCUUAUCCGGCUCUCGGAUUUCCGCACAGUUUUCCACGCGACAUAUCUCAGAAUUACGGAAAACAACAACAACAACAACAACAACAACAACGGCACUACAAUCAGCAUUGCCAUCUACACAAACAACAACAACAUCAAGGAAAAGGAGAGAAGCAUCAUCAACAACAACAACAACUACUACAACUACAACAACAACAGCAGCAACAACACUAUCAAAGUGUGUGCGAAAAGCAGGACGAAGAAGAAGAAGAAGAAGAAGAAGAAGAAGAAGAAGAAGAAGAAGAAGAAGACCCAGAGGAAGGGGAAGACGUUACAGUGCCUCCACUGACGACAGCAGCAUUAACAACAUCAACAACAACAACAGAGACAUCAGUGAUAACAAGGCCAUCUUUACGAUCACUAUCACCACCAUCAGGAUCAUCACUAUCAGCUAUAGCAGUAGCAGAAAGAACAGCAGCAUAUGUCUUAGCUUCAUCAUCAUUGUCCUCACCACCAUUCUCAUUAUUACCAUCAUCAUCAUCACCACCAGCAACAACAACAACAACAACAACAACAACAACAUCAGCAGCAUCGUCAAGCGGGCAUUGUCGUCGACCGUUACUGUUAUCGCGGCCAUUCACACCACCAUCGUCACCUUUGCCGUUGCAUUCGGCGAGAGAUACUUCUACCUCCACGCCGGGAUUUCCCGAUGAAAGCCCACCGCUUUCACCAGCUCGUGCUGAACGCAAGCCUCUUAAAGUUGGCUUCGUCGACAUGGAAGAUGAAGACGACGGACUUGAUGGUGAACAGGAUGCUGAUGAGGAUGGACGCCACCGUAACACGAGUAAAUUCGGUCUCAGGAAAGGUAUGAACUGUAAACGAUAUCAUCAACCGCGGAUGUCUUUACUAGGAAAACCUCUUCAUUUUCACGGCCACCGGAGGGACGCUAAAUACCGCAAACUCCAGGCCCGGAUUUACAAUUUUUUGGAGCGACCCAAAUCAUGGCCAUCGGCUCUAUACCAUAUUUUUGUGUAAGUACAUAUAAAACUAAUAAUAAUAAUAAUAAUAAUAUUAGUAAAAAUAAUAAUAAUAAUGAUAAUAAUAAUAAUAAUAAUAAUAAUAAUAAUAAUAAUAAUAAUAAUAAUAAUAAUAAUAACAAUAAUAAUGAUAAUAAAAUUAAUAGUAUGCAACUUUGCAAAUCUUCUGGCCUUCAUAUCAAAUUUGCAUGCAUAUACAUACAUACACAUAUAUGCAUAUAUACAUAUCCAUCCUUAUUUACACGCAUAUACAUGCAUAUAUAUAUAUAUAUAUAUAUAUAUAUAUAUAUAUAUAUAUGCAUAUAUAUAUAUAUAUAUAUAUAUAUAUAUAUAUAUAUAUAUAUAUAUAUAUAUAUGUAUAUAUAUAUAAGUAUGUAUAUGUAUAUGUAUAUAUGUAUGAAUAUAAUGUUCAAUAAUAUCUAAAGAUUAUGCGAUUAUUUGAUUUUCUGUCAAACAUCUGUCGAUUCGUCAUUUUAUCCGGUUGAUUUCAUUGGUUUAUAAGGACGGGGUGUUUCUUACAAAUUUCAUCAUUAAUUUUUAUUAUUACUUUUAUUACUACCAGCUACUACUACUACUACUACUAUUAUUACUACAACUACUAUUACUACUACUACUAUUAUUAUUAUUAUUAUCAUUAUUAUUAUUAUUACUGUGGCUCUUAUUAUUAUCAUUAUUAUUAUUAUUAUUAUUAUUAUUAAUAUUAUUAUUAUUAUUAUUAUUAUGAUUAUUAUUAUUGUUGUUAUCAUUGAUGUUGUUGCUAUUGUUAUUUUGGUGUGUUCAUGUUUAUUAUUUCAUUACAAAGAAAAAUGUUUUUGUGGUACUUAUUUACUUUCCAUUAAUUUUUUGUUUUAUAUAAUAACAGCAGUGACAUGUCACAUACAUGGACACCUUUCUGAUUACAGCUUUUCAAUACGUGUACAUACCUGUACAUAUUUUGUUGGAAUGAUAUCAUAACAAUACACGCGUACCGGUGACAGCACCUCAGUUUCUGUAUCGAGUAUACAGUCUAGUAUGAUGUGUGUGUGAGAGAGAGAGACUCAGUGAGUGCGAGAGAGAGAGAGGGGAAGAGAGAAUAAUCUGUAUGUUUGUGUAUUUACGGGUAUAUAUGAAAGCCGACGUAUACAUACAGGGAUCUGUCAUUAUACAUGUAUUUGUAUUAUAUUUUAAAUUUUCAAGUGAUUUGCAUGCGUUUAUAUUUAUGAAUUAUAGAAAUUCGGAUAUUCCUGAAUCGAUACACGUGUGUAUAUACAAGCAUACAUGCAUAUAUACAUACAAAUAUACGUACAUACAUACAUAUAUAUAUAUAUAUAUAUAUAUAUAUAUAUAUAUAUUUAUAUAUACACACACACAAACACACACGUGUGUGCGUAUGUAUAUAUAUAUAUAUUUGAGUGUGUAUGUAUUAUAUGUAUAUCUAUUAUUUUGGUGAUGCCGGCUUUCCAAAAUAUUUCAUCCUCACCAUGCGUCAUCCUUUCUCUCACCACACAAACAUAUAUAUAUAUAUAUAUAUAUAUAUAUAUAUAUAUCACGAGGAAAUAACCAUAUGUUAUAUACACGUGUAUAUACAGUUUUUUAUACAUAUACACCUACUUAUCCAUAUAUAAAUACACACACACACACAUAUAUAUAUAUAUAUACAUAUAUAUGUAUGUGUAUAUAUGUAUGUAUAUAUAUGCGUAUAUAUAUAUAUAUAGAUAUGUAUCUAUUUAAAUAUGUACAUAAAUGCAUACAUGCAUAUAUACGCACAAUUAAUGUUUAUACACCUACAUGUACAUAGGCAAACAUGCAGAAAGCCACGAACAUAACGCAUGGACAUGUUUUACAAAUAUAUGGGUGUGAACUACGCAUAAUAACACAUGUGGGUAUGUAAUUUUGCGAAACGUGUGGAGAACCCUCGUAUCUAUCAAUGCAUGUGUGUGUGUGUGUGUGUGUGCUUGCACAGGCCUGAGUGUGUGGUAAGAAAUGUGCUUCUCAACCACAUGGUACUCGGUUCAGUCCAACUGCGUUGCAAGUUAAGCAACAGCAUUCUGUCUGUGGGUAUGUUGGACCGAAUCUGACCACAGCACGUGGUGUACCAUUGCAUAUGUGUAUAUAUAUAUAUAUAUAUAUAUAUAUAUAUAUAUAUAUAUAUAUAUAUAUAUAUAAUGCUCGUAGCUUAGUUUUUCCUUGGGGCUGGCCGGAUCGGAUCGAUCUCAAGAUUAAUCAGCCGAAAUUGCUAGGAUGAUCCGGUUCUUGACUGAAGAUUGAAGGCUUCGAAUGUCCCGUCCGUGUUUUUUGUAUCGUCUUCUAAAUGUUUUACGUUCUUGUCCCAGUUUGCAUUUUUUUUUACAUAUAUGAUAUAUAUAUAUAUAUAUAUAUAUAUAUAUAUAUAUAUAUAUAUAUAUAUAUAUAUAUAUAUAUAAUAUUUAUAUAUAUAUGUGGUGUGUGUGUUUGUGCUGCGUUUCUCCACCAGCACUAGCCAACCGAUUUUGGUGUGGUUCGGCCCGGCUUUUAAAAAUCCCCAGGUCGAUUCAUACGGCUUAAAAUUUAAGGCUGCAGUCGAAGUAAACGAUAAAAGAUGUGUGUGAGUGUGUUUGUGGGUGUGUGUUCGUGUUUUUGUAAAAUGACAGACUUAUAAUUCGUAUUGUCCCUUCAUGCAUGUUAUUUCCUUUAUAAUGCUUGUUUGUGUAUAUACAUGCAACACGUUUAUGUACUAUGACAAAUACCGUAGGAUUUUAAAAAUUUUUUAUGAGAAAUAAUCUUUAUGGAAAAAUUGUUUUGAAAUAUUCCGAAACUCACUCUGUAAAGUAUAUGUAAGUUUGUGUAGUACACAGUCCUGUUCGUCUGUGUGUGUGUGUGUGUGUGUGUGUGUGUGUGUGUGUGUGUACGUGCGUGCGUGAGUGUAUGUUGAAUACGCUAAUAUGAGACAGUAUGUAUAUUAGCAAUUAUGUGUGUGCGUUUAUGUAGGGUUGGAACCGUCCAUAUGUAACUUGACGGAACGGAUGUGCAAACGUGAUUGCACAUACACCCAUGUAUUGGGGUAAUGAGUCGUUAAUAUGUCUUUCUACAUAUAUGUGUGUGAGUGUGAGCAUGUGUGUGUACAUGUGUGUAUGUAUAUAUUUAUAUAUGUAUAUAUAUAUAUAUAUAUAUGUAUAUAUAUAGAUGUAUAUAUAUAGAUAUACAUAUAUAUAUAUAUAUAUAUAUAUAUAUAUAUAUAUAUAUAUAUAUAUAUAUAUAUAUAUAUAUAUAUAUACGUGGAUGAGUAUAUAUACAGUUGCGCAGAGACACAUAAAUAUACACAUAAAUGAAUGUAUGUGCUGUGUGACAGUACAAAUAUGUAUAUGUAUAUAUAUAUAUAUAUAUAUAUAUAUAUAUAUAUAGAUAGAUAGAUAGAUAGAUAGAUGAUGGAUAGAUAGAUAGAUAGAUAGAUAGAUAGAUAGAUAGAUAGAUAGAUAGAUAGAUAGAUAGAUGGGUGGAUCGAUGGAUAGAUAGGUAUAUGCAGUCCGAUGAAGCAAGCCUGUACAGGCCGCCAUUCCGAAGUUACUGCUGACAUUGUUCUAGAAAAGGAAUAAUAAAUAAGUACUCGACAAAAGUAUAAAUAAGUCCUUUAGUUUAAUGUAAAAUUGGUUCCAUUUAUAACUCAACAUAGAAACAAGCAUAAAGAUACAGACACACAUAUAUGCGUCUUUGUGUGUGUGAGAGAGAGUAAGAGAGAGUAUGUGUGUGCGUGUAUGUAUGUAGGUAUGUAUGUAUGUAUGUAUGUGUGCAUGUAUGUAUGUACGUAUGUAUGUAUGUCUUAUGUAUGUAUGUAUGCACGUAUGUAUGUAUGUAUGUUUGUAUGUAUGUAUGUACGUAUGUACGUAUGUAUGUAUGUACGCAUGUAUGUAUGUAUGUAUGUGUGUA